AUUGAACGCUGGCGGCAGGCCUAACACAUGCAAGUCGAGCGGUAGCACAGGAGAGCUUGCUCUCUGGGUGACGAGCGGCGGACGGGUGAGUAAUGUCUGGGAAACUGCCUGAUGGAGGGGGAUAACUACUGGAAACGGUAGCUAAUACCGCAUAACGUCUUCGGACCAAAGUGGGGGACCUUCGGGCCUCACGCCAUCAGAUGUGCCCAGAUGGAUUAGCUAGUAGUGGGUAAUGGCUCACCUAGGCGACGAUCCCUAGCUGGUCUGAGAGGAUGACAGCCNCACUGGAACUGAGACACGGUCANACUCUACGGAGCAGCAGUGGGAAUAUUGCACAA
rnacentral:rRNA from 1 species